AUUAGAGUUUGAUCCUGGCUCAGAAUGAACGUUGGCGGCAUGGAUUAGGCAUGCAAGUCGAGCGAGAAGGGUUUUGAAGCUUGCUUUGAAACCCGGAAAGCGGCGCAAGGGAGAGUAACGAGUAGUUAUCUACCCCAAGGCCCGGAAUAGCUGCGGGAAACUGCAGGUAAUGCCGGAUAAUAUCCCCGGAUCAAAGGUGUGAUUCCGCCUUGGAAGGAGACUGCUUUGUACUAGCUUGUUGGUAGGGUAAUGGCCUACCAAGGCUACGAUGCAUAGCGGGCGUGAGAGCGUGGCCCGUCUCACUGGGACUGAAACACUGCCCAGACACCUACGGGUGGCUGCAGUCGAGAAUCUUCGGCAAUGGGCGAAAGCCUGACCGAGCGAUGCCGCGUGCGGGAUGAAGGCCCUCGGGUUGUAAACCGCUGUCGUAGAGGAGAAAGGUCUGAUGAAGAAUCAGAUUUGAUCUAUUCUAGGAGGAAGUCCGGGCUAAGUUCGUGCCAGCAGCCGCGGUAACACGAACCGGACAAACGUUAUUCGGAAUUAUUGGGCUUAAAGGGUGCGUAGGCGGUGCGGUAAGUGCGGUGUGAAAGCCCUCGGCUCAACCGAGGAAUUGCGCUGCAUACUGCCGUGCUGGAGGGAGACAGAGGUAAGCGGAACUGAUGGUGGAGCGGUGAAAUGCGUUGAUAUCAUCAGGAACACCGGUGGCGAAAGCGG
rnacentral:rRNA from 1 species